UACGUAGGGGGCAAGCGUUGUCCGGAUUCAUUGGGCGUAAAGAGCUCGUAGGCGGCUUGGCAAGUCGGGUGUGAAAACUUCAGGCUCAACCUGGAGCGGCCACUCGAUACUGCCAUGGCUAGAGUCCGGUAGGGGACCACGGAAUUCCUGGUGUAGCGGUGAAAUGCGCAGAUAUCAGGAGGAACACCGGUGGCGAAGGCGGGUCUCUGGGCCGAUACUGACGCUGAGGAGCGAAAGCGUGGGGAGCGAACAGG
rnacentral:rRNA from 1 species